AUGGAAUCUCUGAGAUUUGCAAUUUGUUUGUGUUCAUUUGUAAUUUGUUUUUCUAAAACUUAUUUUAGAGGAACAAUAGGGAACCUAAAGAAGCACAAACCGCGGGUAGAUUUUCUUUCAAGAAGCCGCUUAGAAUUUCAAAGAGAGAAUUUUGUUUAUUUUUGGAGAAUUACAACACAGUUUUUUUUUCCAUAA